AAUCCGAGCCUCUAGGGUUUCUCAAACAUGUAUUCUUAUGAUGCUUAAUCUGUUAGAGAAGCCCAAUAGCUUAUUUAUAGACUUUAGAAUCAAUUGGAGUCGAAUUAGAAAGUUUCUUUCCAAAAACAGCACCUUGUACCGGAACAAGGAAUGUUGUCCAGGGUACACCAUGACGGAAGAUUUUUCUGCGAAGUUUCUGUACCCUGGAUAGGCUGUUGCUUGUUCCGGAACAGGGCUUGUACCGGUACAGCAUGAAGCUUGUACCGGAACAACCAUCAAACUUUCUGCGCAACGUUGAUGGCUGUACCCUGGACAGAAAAGCCUUGUACCG
rnacentral:lncRNA from 1 species